rnacentral:sRNA from 1 species
CCCUAGCCCAGAUAGCAGUGAAAAUCCUUUUUAUUUUUCCUUUAAAAAUAAAAAGAUUGAAACGGAUAGCUGGAAAAAGC